rnacentral:rRNA from 1 species
GGGGACGAGGCGGGCAGCCAAAACAUGCAGUCGAGCGGUAACAGGGGAAGCUUGCUUCUCGCUGACGAGCGGCGGACGGGUGAGUAAUGUAUGGGGAUCUGCCCGAUAGAGGGGGAUAACUACUGGAAACGGUGGCUAAUACCGCAUAAUCUCUAAGGAGCAAAGCAGGGGAACUUCGGUCCUUGCGCUUAAUCUGUCGAGAUAGGAAAAUCCCAUAUAUUGGGGAUUAAGGCUAGGUAGUUGAAGGUAAAUGGCUCACCUAAGGCGAACGAUCCCUAGGCUGUUUCUGAGAGGAUGAUCAGCUACACUGGGACUGAAGAACACGGCCCAGACUCCCUACGGGAGGCAGGCAGUGGGGAAUAUUGCACCAAUUGGGCGCAAGCCUGAUGCAGGCCAUGCCGCGUGUAUGAAGAAGGCCUUUAGGGUUGUAAAGUACUUUCAGUCGGGAGGAAGGGCGUUGAUGCUAAUAUCAUCAGCGAUUGACGUUACCGACAGAAGAAGCACCGGCUAACUCCGUGCCAGCAGCCGCGGUAAUACGGAGGGUGCAAGCGUUAAUCGGAAUUACUGGGCGUAAAGCGCACGCAGGCGGUUGAUUAAGUUAGAUGUGAAAUCCCCGGGCUUAACCUGGGAAUGGCAUCUAAGACUGGUCAGCUAGAGUCUUGUAGAGGGGGGUAGAAUUCCAUGUGUAGCGGUGAAAUGCGUAGAGAUGUGGAGGAAUACCGGUGGCGAAGGCGGCCCCCUGGACAAAGACUGACGCUCAGGUGCGAAAGCGUGGGGAGCAAACAGGAUUAGAUACCCUGGUAGUCCACGCUGUAAACGAUGUCGAUUUGGAGGUUGUUCCCUAGAGGAGUGGCUUCCGGAGCUAACGCGUUAAAUCGACCGCCUGGGGAGUACGGCCGCAGGGUUAAAACUCAAAUGAAUUGACGGGGGCCCGCACCAGCGGUGGAGCAUGUGGUUUAAUUUUAUGCAACGCGAAGAACCUUACCUACUCUUUGUCAUCCAGAGAACUUAGCAGAGAUGCUUUGGUGCCUUCGGGGAACUCUGAGACAGGUGCUGCAUGGCUGUCGUCAGCUCGUGUUGUGCAAUGUUGGGUUAAGUUCCGCAACGAGCGCAACCCUUAUCCUUUCGUUGCCAGCGAUGUCGGUCCGGGAACUCAAGGGAGACUGACCGGUGAUACACCCCGCGGAGGAAGGUGGGGAUGAGCGUUGAGGGUCGUCUUGUUCCUUCCGAGGUGGGGCCUCCCUCCCAUUGCCUCGAACUGGCGGUAUGCGGAGUGAAGUCGACUUCGCGAGAGCUACAGCGGCACUCCUAAAGAUACGUCCGUAGUCCUGAUUGUAGUCUGCUAUACUCGACUGUAUGACAGUCGGACUCUGCUAGUAAUCGUAGAUCAGAAUGCUACGGUGAAUACGUUCCCGGGCCUUGUACACACCGCCCGUCACACCAUGGGAGUGGGUUGCAAAAGAAGUAGGUAGCUUAACCUUCGGGAGGGCGCUACCCACUUUUAUUCCCGUCUCU